rnacentral:siRNA from 1 species
AGGCCAGUGUUUAAGUAUGGU